AUUGAACGCUGGCGGCAUGCCUUACACAUGCAAGUCGAACGGCAGCGCGGGGCAACCUGGCGGCGAGUGGCGAACGGGUGAGUAACAUAUCGGAACAUACCCUAGAGUGGGGGAUAACGUAGCGAAAGUUACGCUAAUACCGCAUACGCACUAAGGUGGAAAGUGGGGGAUCUUCGGACCUCAUGCUCAUGGAGUGGCCGAUAUCUGAUUAGCUAGUUGGUGAGGUAAAGGCUCACCAAGGCGACGAUCAGUAGCUGGUUUGAGAGAACGACCAGCCACACUGGAACUGAGACACGGUCCAGACUCCUACGGGAGGCAGCAGUGGGGAAUUUUGGGACAAUGGGGGGCAACCCUGAUCCAGCAAUGCCGCGUGAGUGAAGAAGGCCUCGGGUUGUAA
rnacentral:rRNA from 1 species